GACGGAGGAGGCUAGCGUUGUUCGGAAUUACUGGGCGUAAAGCGCGCGCAGGCGGUCUUGCAAGUCAGGGGUGAAAGCCCGGGGCUCAACCUCGGAACUGCCUUUGAGACUGUGAGACUCGAGACCGAGAGAGGAGAGUGGAAUUCCCAGUGUAGAGGUGAAAUUCGUAGAUAUUGGGAAGAACACCAGUGGCGAAGGCGGCUCUCUGGCUCGGUACUGACGCUCAUGCGCGAAAGCGUGGGGAGCAAACAGG
rnacentral:rRNA from 1 species